rnacentral:misc_RNA from 1 species
GGGAAAGAAUGCUGAUAUUUCUCAAGAGGCUGCUGAAAUCAUUGAUUAUACACAGAACUUUAAUCAGACAUCAGAAGAUGGCAUUAAAGAGUUGUUUCAAAGGAAAUAUGCUCUUGCAAUUAUUGUUGGAGUUGGGCUGAUGGCAGUUCUACAAUUUGGAGGGCUCAAUGGCUAUUCUUACUAUUUAAGCUCUAUUUUAGAAUCAGCUGGUUUCCCUAGUAGUGUUGGGUCUGUAGCAGCAAGUAUUGUUCAGAUAGUGAUGAAUAUUUGCAGCUUGUUCUUAAUUGAUAAAUUUGGAAGAAGACCACUUCUACUGGUUUCUACAAGUGGAUGCUGCUUAGGUUCACUUGUAACAGGAUUGUCCUUUCUAUUGCAGGGCUAUCACCUAGGGAAAGAAAUCACUCCCAUUCUGGCACUUGCAGGAAUAUUGGUGAUACGAUUCGGCCAGAACAUAUGGUUUUUGCACUUGUUAGUUGAAAUAUUAUUAGACAAAUAAGCAUCGAAAUUUUGAUUCUGCAAUCAGGUAUUUAUAGGUUCUGUGUCAAUAGGCCUGGGAGGAAUACCAUGGAUUAUGGUGGCAGAGGUAUAGUAACAUAUUUUGCCUCUGAAACAUGUGAGGUGGCUAACAUUUGCAGCUUAAAUGGAAUGAUGGUUUUUUCUAUCAGAUAUUUCCUGUAAACGUAAAAGGUUCAGCAGGAAGUUUAGUAAAUUUGUUCAGCUGGUCUGGGAGUUGGAUUGUUGCAUAUACUUUCAAUUAUUUGUUUGAGUGGAGCUCAGCAGGUAACUGCCUCUCCUCUGCCUGUCUUGAAGUUCUGUAAAAAAAAUUAUAGUAUCACUGAACUAACUAAAGUUCAUUGAGUCACUUUCUUAAUCUCUUAUGCUAUGGUAUUUCCUAUACAUGAUUUCAGGGGUAUUUCUGAUUUAUGCAAUCAUUGCUGGCUUGGGAGUUAUAUUUGUGGCAAAUUUGGUGCCAGAGACAAAGGGGCGAGCACUUGAAGAGAUACAAGCAUCAUUGAUUGCCUAGACUUAGUCCACCUGUGAUCCAAAAUACAAAUAUGUGGAACUCAUAUAUUUAAUAAGUGAAUAUCAUAUAUCUUGUGUCUUAAGUACAAGAUAAAUCGAGUUCAGGCAAAAAAAAAAAAAAUCCAUGCGAGGAUAAUGGGGUUGAGAUUUUAUGAGAUGGGUUCAAACAAUAUCAAGCAUAAUAACCCAAGAAAUUUAAUUUAAGUGAUUUUUCAUUGCUUAUAAGAUAUCAAAAUUACACUUCAUAUGUGG